rnacentral:rRNA from 1 species
AAUCCGCUUUAGCCAUGCUAGUCGCACGAGUUCAUACUCGUGGCAGAUAGCUCAGUAACACGUGGCCAAACUACCCUACGGACCAGUAUAACCUCGGGAAACUGAGGCUAAUGCUGGAUACGACUCUCAGUCUGGAGUGACGAGAGUCGGAAACGCUCCGGCGCCAUAGGAUGUGGCUGCGGCCGAUUAGGUAGACGGUGGGGUAACGGCCCACCGUGCCGAUAAUCGGUACAGGUUGUGAGAGCAAGAGCCCGGAGACGGAAUCUGAGACAAGAUUCCGGGCCCUACGGGGCGCAGCAGGCGCGAAAACUUUACACUGCACGACAGUGCGAUAAGGGAACUCCGAGUGCGAGGGCAUAUAGUCCUCGCUUUUGUGUAUCGUAAGGUGGUACACGAAUAAGAGCUGGGCAAGACCGGUGCCAGCCGCCGCGGUAAUACCGGCAGCUCAAGUGAUGGCCGCUUUUAUUGGGCCUAAAGCGUCCGUAGCCGGCCGAACAGGUCCGUCGGGAAAUCUGCUCGCUCAACGAGCAGGCGUCCGGCGGAAACCAGUCGGCUUGGGACCGGAAGACUCGAGGGGUACGUCUGGGGUAGGAGUGAAAUCCUGUAAUCCUGGACGGACCGCCGGUGGCGAAAGCGCCUCGAGAGGACGGAUCCGACGGUGAGGGACGAAAGCUAGGGUCACGAACCGGAUUAGAUACCCGGGUAGUCCUAGCUGUAAACGAUGCUCGCUAGGUGUGGCACAGGCUACGAGCCUGUGCUGUGCCGUAGGGAAGCCGAGAAGCGAGCCGCCUGGGAAGUACGUCCGCAAGGAUGAAACUUAAAGGAAUUGGCGGGGGAGCACUACAACCGGAGGAGCCUGCGGUUUAAUUGGAGUCAACGCCGGG